rnacentral:rRNA from 1 species
AAUGAACGCUGGCGGUAGGCCUAACACAUGCAAGUCGAACGGCAGCACAGUAAGAGCUUGCUCUUACGGGUGGCGAGUGGCGGACGGGUGAGGUAUACAUCGGAAUCUACUUUUUCGGGGGGGCUAACGUAGGAAAACUUCCUCUAAUACCGCAUACAUCCUACGGGGGAAAGCAGGGGUUGUUCUAACCUGUCGCUAUGGAAUAAGCCGAUGUCGGAUUCGCUAGUUGGCGGGGUAGAGGCACAACAAGGCGACGAUCCGUAUCUGCUCUGACAGGAUGAUCAGCCACACUGGAACUGAGAAACGGCACAGACUCUUACGCGAGGAAGCAGUCGGGAAUCUUGGGCAAUGGGCGAAAGCCUGAUACAGCAAUACCGCGUGAGUGCUGAAGGCGUUCGGCUUGUAGAGCCAUUUUGUUCGGAAAGAAAAACAGCAGUUUUAUCCCCCGUUGUACUGACGGUACCGAAAGAAUAAGCACCGGCUAACUUCGUG